rnacentral:rRNA from 1 species
UUUAUGGAGAGUUUGAUCCUGGCUCAGGAUGAACGCUGGCGGCGUGCCUAAUACAUGCAAGUCGAGCGAACAGAUAAGGAGCUUGCUCCUUUGACGUUAGCGGCGGACGGGUGAGUAACACGUGGGCAACCUACCUAUAAGACUGGAAUAACUCCGGGAAACCGGGGCUAAUGCCGGAUAACAUGUUGAACCGCAUGGUUCUACAGUGAAAGACGGUCUU